AUGCAAUUCAUAUUGGUGGUGGUACUGGUUCUCCUCGCAUUUACGGCCGCAGGCAAAGAAGCAGAAGCAGCUGAAGCCCUCCCGCCUCAAGCGCUUCAUGGCUGCUCUGACAAGUGCGGUGAUCUCACAGUUCCAUAUCCAUUUGGCAUGGAGGAGGGUUGUUACCUGGGAGAUGAAUUCUUUAUUUAUUGCAACCGUUCGACCCAAUCAGCAUAUUUGAUGGGCAGCAGCAGCAGUAUCAUUGUUACUAACAUUUCCCUAGAGGUUGGGGAGAUGCAAAUAUCGAAGCGAAUAGGGCGAGAUUGUUACGAUAAAGAGGGAAACCGAAACUACAACAUAAGCACAGCAGGAAAGUUCACAUUGGUACCUCCAUACACUAUAUCUGAUGCCCAAAACAAGUUCUACGCCGUUGGUUGUGACACUAUUGCAGCCAUGGGCAGCUUCCGAGGGGAAAAAGAAGUCAUUACUGGGUGCAUUUCAGUAUGCAACAGCCUCAGCAGUGUUAAUAAGAACUCUUGCUCUGGCAUUGGGUGUUGCCAGGUUAACAUCCCCAGUGGACUGAUCGAUCUCACUUUCGAGUUGAGAAGCUUCUACAAUCAUACGAAUGUAUCUGAGUUUAACCCCUGCAGCUACGCCUUCAUUGCAGAGCAAGACCGGUUCAAUUUUAACUCUUCUAGUUUUGAACAACUGAAAGGCAUUGAACGGCUUCCAAUGGUUCUUAAUUGGGCCAUUGUGAAUGACACAGAUCCCUGCGAUGAGGCUCAGAACAGGAAGGGUUCCGCAUGCAAGGCUAAUAGCAAGUGCUUCAACCCAGCUAUCAAUGAGUCUGUAGGUUACUUGUGCCAGUGCUUGCCUGGUUAUGAAGGAAACCCGUACCACCCAGAUGGUUGCAAAGGUAUAUGUGCAGGUGUAACUGGGGGCUUCUUUGUUCUGUUUGUUGGAAUUUCAUGGAUAUGUUGCAGAAUACGGAAAACAAAAUUCAAGAAACAGAAAGAAAAGUACUUUAAAGAAAAUGGUGGCUUAUUGUUACUACAACAACUCGCUAACCAUGGAGGCUCAGUGGAGACAACAAAAGUCUUCACCGAAGAAGAACUAGAGAAUGCAACAAACAAUUACCAUGAGAGUGGAGUCCUUGGAGAAGGAGGCUACGGAACAGUUCAUAAAGGAGUACUAAAGGACAACAAAGUGGUUGCCAUAAAGAAGUCAAAAGGAGGUACCUCGACCCAGAGCGAACAGUUUGUUAACGAGGUGAUUGUUCUUUCUCAAAUCAACCACAGAAAUGUGGUGAAGCUACUAGGUUGUUGUUUGGAGACAGCAGUGCCUUUACUGGUAUACGAAUUUGCACUCUAUACGAGCACAUUCAUAAAAGAAGAUCAUCACUGUCAUUUGAACAGCGAAUGAAGAUAGCUGUUGAAACAGCAGGAGCACUAGCAUACUUACACUCCUCCACAUCAAUGCCAAUCAUACAUCGAGACGUGAAAGCAGCAAAUAUACUCUUGGAUGAUAAUUAUACAGCCAAAGUGUCGGACUUCGGAGCUUCACGGUUGGUUCCUCUAGGUCAAACCGAAAUACAAACUUUGGUGCUCGGGACGUUUGGAUACCUAGACCCAGAAUAUUUGCAGUCGAACCAACUAACAGAAAAAAGUGAUGUCUACAGCUUUGGAGUUGUCCUAGUGGAGCUACUUACAAGCAAAGUGGCAGUUUCUAAUGAUAGAUGCUUAACAAGCAUCUUUAUUUCUUGCAUGGAUGAAGAUCGCUUAAAAGAAAUUCUUGACGAUGCCAUACUGAAUGAGGGAAACAUUGAGACAGCAGUAAACGUGGCCAAUCUCGCAAAAAGAUGUUUGAGGUUAAAAGGGGAGGAAAGGCCUACCAUGAAAGAAGUUGCCAUGGAGCUAGAGGGAAUGGCAAUUAUGGCAAAGCAUCCGUGGGGAAAGAAUGCUAAAUUCUGUCCGGAGGAGAAUGAGUACCUGCUUGGUUCACCUACUUCAGACAGUUAUGACAUGGAUGCUAGAGGAGGUGAUCACAAUUCUAGUGGUUUAACCAUUGGUACGACUACUGUGUAUGACAGCAUGCAAAUCCAGAUGUUGAUUCCACAUGGUAUCAUUUUCAGCUUCUUGGUAAUGCUGGUUGGAAUUUCAUGGAUGUAUUGGGUAAUGAAGAAAAGGAAGUUCAUCAAAUUCAAGGAGAAGUACUUCAAAGAAAAUGGUGGCUUACUGUUACAGCAACAACUUGCUACUCAGAUAUCUCCCAUUUCGAUUUCUGUGGGAAUGCCUUUUGGAACUCGAACUGGGUUCUCCAGAGGUGACCAUUUCUAUGCGUCGUACCCGGCUGGAACUGAGCUCCUGAGAGACGAAGCUAAGCUCUCAUUCGUAAUCAUCAUCGGAGUACUAAUUGUGUCAACAACAGCAGCACCACCUCAAGCACUGCCUAACUGCCCAGACAAAUGUGGUAAUAUCACAGUUCCUUAUCCCUUUGGCAUGGCCGAAGGUUGUUACCGAUCAAAUUCCUUCUUUGUGAAUUGUAGCCUAGCCACCGAUCCCCCAACAGCUUAUUUGAGCAAAAAUGGCACUAUCAUCCUUACCAACAUAUCCAUCGCUGAUGGUGAGGUGCAAAUAUUAAACACUAUAGCUCGAGAUUGCUAUAGCGCCUCUGGUCUGAGAACCGUGAGGAACAGCCCUGUGCUACGGCUGAAAUCUACUUACAUCAUCUCCGAUACCAAAAACAAGUUCAUUGCCGUUGGUUGUGACACUUACGCUAUCUUCAAGGGAUUCCGGGGCUCAGAUGAGUCCGUAACUGGAUGUAUGUCAGUAUGUAACAGCCUAGACAACGUUGAUCAGAAUUCUUGCUCCGGCAUUGGAUGUUGCCAAACAAACAUUCCUAGCGGACUGCACAACCGUUCUGUCACACUGGAUAGCUAUACCAAUCAUUCAGGUAUAUGGGACUUUAAUCCCUGCAGCUAUGCGUUCAUUGUUGAAGAGACACAGUUCAACUUCUCUGGGAACACAACUUUUCAACAACUGAACAGCACCACACGGCUUCCGAUGGUUCUUAACUGGGCAAUUGGGGAUGAUCCAGACCCUUGUGAUGUAGCUCAAACGAGGGAGGAUUUCGUAUGCAUGCAAAAUAGCAAGUGUGUGAAUCCCCCAAAUAGAAAUGGCUACAUUUGCCAGUGCUUGGAAGGUUAUGAAGGGAACCCAUACCACCCAGAUGGUUGCCAAGAUAUUGAUGAGUGCACGGAUUCAAACCUCUGCAACAAUGGCAAGUGCAUAAAUUCGCCAGGAAAUUACUCUUGUUCAUGUUCAAAAGGAUACAAGAUCGACAACACGAAUGACAAGAGUUGCAUCAAAGAGCAUACCAAAAAUAAAUCAAAGAUGACAAUCCUGCUUAUUGUUUCAUUGAGUGUAAGUAUAGGCUUGUUGGUUAUAUUUGUGGGAAUUUCAUGGAUAUGUUGCGGAAUAAAGAGAAGACAAUACACUAAACUCAAAGAAAGGUAUUUCAAAGAGAAUGGUGGCUUAUUGUUACUACAACAACUCGCUAGUCAUGGAGGCACUGUGGAGACAACAAAAAUCUUUUCCACAGAAGAACUUGAGAAGGCAACAAACAAUUACCACGAGAGUAGAGUCCUCGGAGAAGGAGGCUAUGGAACAGUUUACAAAGGAAUUCUACCAGAUGACAAAGUGGUGGCGAUAAAGAAGUCGAAAGGUGGUGCCCCGACCCAAAGUGAUCAGUUUGUUAACGAGGUGAUUGUUCUAUCCCAAAUAAACCACAGAAAUGUGGUGAAGCUACUUGGUUGUUGUUUAGAGACAGUAGUGCCUUUACUAGUAUAUGAGUUCAUCACCAAUGGUACUCUUUACGAGCACAUUCAUAAAAAAGAUCAUCACUGUCAUUUGAACUACGAAUGAGGAUAGCAGUUGAAACGGCAGAAGCAUUAGCAUACUUGCACUCCUCAACUUCAAAUCAAUCAUACAUAGAGAUGUGAAAGCAGAAAAUAUUCUGCUAGAUGAUAGUUAUACGGCGAAAGUGUCAGACUUCGGAGCUUCAAGAUUGGUUCCAUCAGGUCAAACUGAAAUACAAACUCUAGUGCUUGGGACCUUCGGUUACCUAGACCCAGAAUAUCUGCAAUCUAACCAACUAACAGAAAAAAGUGACGUCUACAGCUUUGGUGUUGUCCUAGUGGAGCUACUAACAAGCAUAGUGGCACUUUCCAAGGGCAAAUGCUUAACAAGCAUCUUUCUUUCUUCCAUGGGUGAAGGUCGCUUGAAUCAAAUUCUUGAUGAUGACAUUGUGAAUGAGGGAAACAUUGAGACAAUAAAGAGAGUGGCUAUUCUUGCAGAAAGAUGCUUGAGGGUAAAAGGGGAGGAAAGGCCUACCAUGAAAGAAGUAGCAAUGGAGCUAGAGAGAAUGAGGAUUACAUCAAAGCAUCCAUGGGGAACUAAAGUUGAUUUCUGUCCCGAAGAAAAUGAGUACCUGCUUGGGUCACUUGAUUCAGAUGCUUAUGUUUUGGAUGUUACAGGAGGUAAUGGUAGUUCUAGUGGUUUUACUACCGGUACAACCUCAGGAUAUGACAGUAUGCAAAUACAAAUGUUAAUGCCAUAUGGUUAUGGUUCCGGUGAUGGAAGAUAG